UCUAGAACUCGAGAAAUGGGCUGAACACUGAACAAUGUCUGGGCUGCAGGACAGAUUCCAACUUCUUUUUUGUUGCUAAAAUUUGAGCUUGAAAAAGACCGUUUUGAAUCUUGGACUCUUCAUGAAAGUUUUAGGCCUAUGUCUUAGCUUUCCAUC
rfam:Populus trichocarpa scaffold_16_contig_103, whole genome shotgun sequence.